rnacentral:rRNA from 1 species
AUUGUAGUAGCUGAAAUGGCGGGUUCACCUGCUACAUUACAAUACCUCGCUCCUUAUACGGGAGCAGCCCUGGCUGAGUAUUUUAUGUACCGCGAACGGCAUACUUUAAUAAUUUAUGAUGAUCUCUCCAAACAGGCACAAGCUUAUCGCCAAAUGUCCCUUCUAUUAAGUCUCGACCGUGAGGCUUAUCCAGGGGAUGUUUUUUAUUUGCAUUCAUGCCUUUUAGAAAGAGCCGUGAAAUGCAAUUCUCUUUUAGGCGAAGGAAGUAUGACCGCUUUACCAAUAGUUGAGACUCAAUCUGGAGACGUUUCUACCUAUAUUCCUACUAAUGUAAUCUCCAUUACAUAU